rnacentral:rRNA from 1 species
UAGAGUUUGAUCCUGGCUCAGAAUUAACGCUGGCGGCAUGCCUAACACAUGCAAGUCGCACGAGAAAGCCCGGUUCGCCGGGCGAGUAAAGUGGCGCACGGGUGAGUAACGCGUGGAUAAUCUACCUCGUUCUGGGGGAUAACCCAUCGAAAGGUGGGCUAAUACCGCAUAAUCCGGCUGAAUUUCGGUUUGGUCGGCAAAGGUGGCCUCUUGAUCAAAGCUACCGGAAAGAGAUGAGUCCGCGUCCCAUUAGCUUGUUGGUAGGGUAACGGCCUACCAAGGCGACGAUGGGUAGCUGGUCUGAGAGGACGAUCAGCCACACUGGAACUGGUACACGGUCCAGACUCCUACGGGAGGCAGCAGUGAGGAAUAUUGCGCAAUGGGGGAAACCCUGACGCAGCGAUGCCGCGUGAGUGAAGAAGGCCUUCGGGUCGUAAAGCUCUGUCAAGUGGGAAGAACAGCCUGGGGACCAAUACUCCUCGGGUCUGACGGUACCACUGAAGGAAGCACCGGCUAACUCCGUGCCAGCCGCCGC